AACGAACGCUGGCGGCAUGCCUAACACAUGCAAGUCGAACGAGACCUUCGGGUCUAGUGGCGCACGGGUGCGUAACGCGUGGGAACCUGCCCUUAGGUUCGGAAUAACUCCCCGAAAGGGGUGCUAAUACCGGAUAAUGUCUUCGGACCAAAGAUUUAUCGCCUUUGGAUGGGCCCGCGUUGGAUUAGCUAGUUGGUAGGGUAAAAGCCUACCAAGGCGACGAUCCAUAGCUGGUCUGAGAGGAUGAUCAGCCACACUGGGACUGAGACACGGCCCAGACUCCUACGGGAGGAAGCAGUGGGGAAUAGUGGACAAUGGGCGAAAGCCUGAUCCAGCAAUGCCGCGUGAGUGAUGAAGGCCUUAGGGUUGUAAAGCGCUUUUACCCGGGAUGAUAAUGACAGUACCGGGAGAAUAAGCUCCGGCUAACUCCGUG
rnacentral:rRNA from 1 species